rnacentral:sRNA from 1 species
GCCGGGUGUGGUGGUGCACACCUGUAAUCCCAGUGAUUCAUUCAGGAGGCUGAGUCAGGAGGAGCUCAAAGCCAGUCUCAGCAAUGGUGAGGCACUAAGCAACUCAAUGAGACCCUGUUUCUA